rnacentral:rRNA from 1 species
UACGUAGGGGGCAAGCGUUGUCCGGAAUCAUUGGGCGUAAAGAGCGCGUAGGCGGCCCAGUAAGUCCGCUCUGAAAGUCAGGGGCUCAACCCCUGAAUGCGGGUGGAUACUGCUGGGCUAGAGUCCGGAAGAGGCGAGUGGAAUUCCUGGUGUAGCGGUGGAAUGCGCAGAUAUCAGGAGGAACACCGAUGGCGAAGGCAGAUCUCUGGGCCGUAACUGACGCUGAGGAGCGAAAGCGUGGGGAGCGAACAGG